GCCAGCCAGGUAGAAGAUGAUUGCGUAGUUCUUGAAUGCAUCCACCAAGCGUCCUGAUAGUCAAAUGAGAAAUAAUUAGUGUUAGACUAUCAGCAAGUCUUUACCAAUGAUAUGGAAGUCGCUGAGAUCAGCACCUCAAUGAGUUCUCUGUGGCUGGGGAAUAAUUUCCUAAGGAAAGAGACUGAAGCCUUAUUGGGAUAUUCAGAAUUACACUUGACAAAACCCUGGACAAUAUACAACAGAAAGCCAUUCUGUGUUGGCUGAGAAAAACAGACAGGAUGUGCUCCAAGAGAAAUCUACCUGAAGUGGGCCAGUGUCCACCUGCUUGGGCCUGUUACUCCCCGUGGGAAAUAAGCGUGUUCCUGUUUGGAUCAGAGAAGAGGAGCCAGUCAUCCCUGUCGGGGCCCCGUCGAAACUGUUGGAAUCGGGCCCCACACUUCCUAAAGCCGGC